AUAGCAAUAUGCAAAAACAAGUAGAAGAGGCAUUAUACUGAUGCUUGUUUGAUAAUAUCACAUCUGUGUUAAUGGAAGGUUUUGUGAUGUAUGAAACUUGUGUUUUUAUAUAUAAGUGAAUAUGGUUACAUUAGUGUUGUAAUGCUUAACUUUAGCUAUAAAUAAUUAAGUUAUGUACAUGAGGGACUUCUGAUUUAUUGCAGUGUGCAGUCCUAGUUUUUACUUACAUUAAAGCAUUCUGUUUAGUUUUCAAUUCUAUGUGCCUUAGUUCUCAGUUAGAUCUUCAGAUGUGUACAGAUAGUUCAUAUUUAUGU
rnacentral:lncRNA from 1 species